AUUGAACGCUGGCGGCAGGCCUAACACAUGCAAGUCGAGCGGAUGAAGGGAGCUUGCUCCUGGAUUCAGCGGCGGACGGGUGAGUAAUGCCUAGGAAUCUGCCUGGUAGUGGGGGAUAACGUCCGGAAACGGGCGCUAAUACCGCAUACGUCCUGAGGGAGAAAGUGGGGGAUCUUCGGACCUCACGCUAUCAGAUGAGCCUAGGUCGGAUUAGCUAGUUGGUGGGGUAAAGGCCUACCAAGGCGACGAUCCGUAACUGGUCUGAGAGGAUGAUCAGCCACACUGGAACUGAGACACGGUCCAGACUCCUACGGGAGGCAGCAGUGGGGAAUAUUGGACAAUGGGCGAAAGCCUGAUCCAGCCAUGCCGCGUGUGUGAAGAAGGUCUUCGGAUUGUAAAGCACUUUAAGUUGGGAGGAAGGGCAGCAAGUUAAUACCUUGCUGUUUUGACGUUACCAACAGAAUAAGCACCGGCUAACUUCGUG
rnacentral:rRNA from 1 species